UCCUGGCUCAGGACGAACGCUGGCGGCGUGCUUAACACAUGCAAGUCGAACGAUGAAGCCCUUCGGGGUGGAUUAGUGGCGAACGGGUGAGUAACACGUGGGCAAUCUGCCCUUCACUCUGGGACAAGCCCUGGAAACGGGGUCUAAUACCGGAUAACACUCUGUCCCGCAUGGGACGGGGUUAAAAGCUCCGGCGGUGAAGGAUGAGCCCGCGGCCUAUCAGCUUGUUGGUGGGGUGAUGGCCUACCAAGGCGACGACGGGUAGCCGGCCUGAGAGGGCGACCGGCCACACUGGGACUGAGACACGGCCCAGACUCCUACGGGAGGCAGCAGUGGGGAAUAUUGCACAAUGGGCGAAAGCCUGAUGCAGCGACGCCGCGUGAGGGAUGACGGCCUUCGGGUUGUAAACCUCUUCAGCAGGGAAGAAGCGAAAGUGAC
rnacentral:rRNA from 1 species